CAGCAGCCGCGGGAACACGUAGGGUGCAAGCGUUAAUCGGAAUUACUGGGCGUAAAGCGUGCGCAGGCGGUUAUAUAAGACAGAUGUGAAAUCCCCGGGCUCAACCUGGGAACUGCAUUUGUGACUGUAUAGCUAGAGUACGGCAGAGGGGGAUGGAAUUCCGCGUGUAGCAGUGAAAUGCGUAGAUAUGCGGAGGAACACCGAUGGCGAAGGCAAUCCCCUGGGCCUGUACUGACGCUCAUGCACGAAAGCGUGGGGAGCAAACAGGAUUAGAUACCCCGGUAGUCCCUGUCUCUUAUAC
rnacentral:rRNA from 1 species